GGAGUUAGCCAGACAACCGCUGCUUUAUUGUUGAUUACCCUAGGUAAUUGUUAAUAAAGGGGAGGAAAGUCCGGGCUCCAUAGGGCACAGGGUGCCAGAUAACGUCUGGGAGGCGAAAGCCUACGACUAGUGCAACAGAGAGCAAACCGCCGAUGGCUAUUAAGCACAGGUAAGGGUGAAAAGGUGCGGUAAGAGCGCACCGCGCAACUGGCAAUAGUUUGCGGCACGGUAAACUCCACCCGGAGCAAGGCCAAAUAGGGGUUCACUAGAUGCGGCCCGCAUCGAACCCGGGUAUAGGCUGCUUGAGUCAGUGCGCAAGUGCUGGCCUAGAUGAAUGGUUGUCCACGACAGAAUCCGGCUUAUCGGCUGACUCUAAAA
rnacentral:RNase_P_RNA from 1 species